AAAUCGUAACUAAUUUCAGAGCUGUUGUGAACAAUGGCGACGUUUCAACGAAAGUGACAUUCUGACGAACAAAUGUGUUUUCACACUUUAACAUUAAUCUUCUUUUGUAGAUAUUAAUUACGCUCAUUAGCUGCUAAAUCAGCAGAAAUCCGUGUUUUAGAAUGGCUUUGAACGCUAACGCGUUAUCCAGUGACAUAAGCCGAAGAAAUCCACAAGAUGAAUAUGAACUCAUUCAGAGGAUAGGCAGCGGAACGUACGGAGAUGUUUACAAGGCCAAAAGACUUUCCACGAAUGAUCUCGCUGCAAUUAAGGUUAUCAAAUUGGAACCAGGAGAUGAUUUUGCAAUAAUUCAACAAGAAAUUUUAAUGAUGAAAGAUUGCAGACAUCCUAAUAUUAUUGCCUAUUAUGGAAGUUAUUUGAGAAGAGAUAAAUUAUGGAUUUGUAUGGAAUAUUGUGGAGGUGGUUCUUUGCAAGAUAUAUAUCAUAUAACUGGGCCUUUGUCAGAAAUACAAAUAGCAUACAUGUGCCGAGAAACACUUUUGGGAUUGGCUUAUUUGCAUAGUAUGGGCAAAAUGCAUCGUGAUAUUAAAGGUGCCAAUAUAUUAUUGACUGAAGCUGGUGAUGUCAAGUUAGCUGAUUUUGGUGUAUCAGCACAAAUUACUGCAACUAUUAAUAAAAGAAAGAGUUUCAUUGGUACUCCUUAUUGGAUGGCACCUGAGGUUGCAGCUGUAGAAAGAAAGGGUGGUUAUAAUCAACUUUGUGAUAUUUGGGCAUGUGGAAUUACUGCAAUAGAGUUAGCUGAAUUGCAACCACCUAUGUUUGAUUUACAUCCCAUGAGAGCACUUUUUCUUAUGUCUAAAUCUGGAUUUAAACCACCUACGUUAAAAGAUCGUGACAAGUGGAGUCCAACAUUCCAUAAUUUCGUAAAAAUUGCUCUAACUAAAAAUCCUAAAAAAAGACCGACUGCUGAAAAAUUAUUACAGCAUACAUUUUUUCAAGGAGAAAUGAAUAAACGUUUAGCUCUAGAAUUAUUGCAAAAAGUAUCAAAUCCUAGUCAUAUGUUCACUGAAUUAGAAGCAGAUGAAGAUGGAGCUGUACCUAAUGUUCCACAGAGGAUAGCAUCGCGUCAUACUGCAAGACCUAGACCAAAAAGUCCUAUACCACAAUUAGAUAGCGACGAUCAAAUUAAUCUUGAUGGAACAUUGCAAAGAGACGUGAUUUCUCCAUCUGUAGAUACUAAUCCAUCAUGGGAUAUCAUGGAUAUUAUGAAUAAUGUCAAGUCAGUUCAUAACUGCGAUGUUCAUCCAGAUUGUGGUAUUGGCACAGCAUUUGAAGAUGUACAAGAAAAUCCUGUUGGCGCGAACGUUACAACAGAUAAUAGAGAGUCGCGUCGAAGCAAAACAGGCACAGAGAUAUUUCAUAUGAGUUUAAGGAGUCUAUUGCAGUACAUUGAUGAGGAGUUGUUGCUAAGGGGGAAUGCAAUGUCGAUGGUUGGUGGGCAUUGCGACCAGCUAUAUUCCCUGCAAGCUACACUUCCACUUGGAGAAUCAUCAAAUGAUUGUGAAGUGCAUGGCGCAUAUUACAAUAUAUCAGGAUCACAAGCAAGUCCCAGGCGCCAUAGCUCUGUAGAUGAAUUAUAUGGUUUAGUGAACAGUACUCAGUCUUUGGCUGCUGUGAAUGGACAACGUCAACGAUCUCUUUCAGAUAGUGGCCCUAGAGAUGAAUCUCCUCAAUCGAAUGGUCAAAAUGAGAUGUCAGGCGAAGGAGAUCAAGAAGGUAUGAGCCCAGAUUUAUUAUCCGAUACUCCGCCUGUUCCUCCGAGAAGAAGGGAUAGAAAACGUCAUACACCUCCUAGACCUAUCAGCAAUGGACUGCCACCAACACCUAAGGUUCAUAUGGGAGCAUGUUUUUCGAAAGUAUUUAAUGGUUGUCCAUUAAGAAUACAUUGUACUGCAAGUUGGAUUCAUCCAGAUACAAGGGAUCAGCAUUUAUUAAUUGCAGCAGAAGAAGGAAUUUAUAAUUUAAAUUUAAAUGAACUUCAUGAAACUGCAAUAGAUCAAUUAUAUCCAAGACGAACUAUUUGGAUGUAUGUCAUCAAGGAUGUUCUCAUGUCCUUAUCUGGAAAAACUCCUCAAUUAUAUAGACAUGAUUUAUUAGCAAUGCAAAGCAAACAAACUCAUAGGUUUUCAUUACACAUGAAUAAAAUACCUGAAAGAUUAGUCCCUAGAAAAUUUGCUCUAACUACAAAAGUACCAGAUACAAAAGGUUGUACUAAAUGCUGUGUAGGAAGAAAUCCAUAUAAUGGAUAUAAAUAUUUAUGUGGUGCAAUGCCAACUGGAAUAUUUUUAAUGCAAUGGUAUGAUCCUCUUAAUAAAUUCAUGUUAUUAAAACAUUUUGAUUGUACAUUACCAACACCACUAAAUGUAUUUGAAAUUAUUAUUACACCUGAAAUGGAGUAUCCGAUGGUGUGUGUAUCUGUGAAACAACCAUAUCAACAAAAUAAAUUAAAAUUGGAUUUAAUCAAUAUGAAUUCAGGGGCAAGUUGGUUUCACAGUGAUGAAUUGGAAGAUAUGGAUGGUUCUGCUACUGUGAUACCAAGAAGAGAAAAUCUUCAUGUUAUCAAUGUUACACAGUUAGAAAAAAAUGCAAUAUUAGUCUGUUACGAUAAUGUAGUAAAAGUGGUAACAUUACAAGGAAAACCUAGAUCAAGCAGAAAGCACAUGUCAGAAUUACAUUUUAAUUUUCAAAUUGAAUCCAUUAUUUGUUUACCAGAUAGUGUGCUAGCAUUCCAUAAACAUGGUAUGCAAGGUAGAAGUUUUAAAAACGGUGAAGUUACGCAAGAAAUCAGUGAUCCGAGUAGAACGUACAGAUUACUUGGAUCAGAUAAAGUUGUGAUGCUGGAGAGCCACUUAGUUCAAUCAGGCACACUGACUGAAUCCGAAGGCGCGGAUUUAUAUAUACUUGCUGGACACGAAGCCAGUUAUUAAGAUAUCUUCCAACUGUAAAUGUGCAGACAUAAUGUGUCACGAGUGAUUUGUGAUUCCAAUGACUGCAUAUAAAGUAAAAUAUGACUGAGAGGCAGUGGUCGAUGUUGGUGCUGUUCUAUCAUCAAGUUAUAAAAGUUGAUUUGGUUUUCUGUUCAGCUAUGUAUUAUGUUUUUCAUUAAAAAAUAUAUGUAAAUAUGUAAACCAAAAUUGGAAUAUUUUAAGAGGCAAAUUCGUAUUGUAAAAAUGACGAUACGACUUAGAAAAAAUGAGACAAAGAAAAGGAAAUGCGCGAAAAAGAGAGGUAUAUAUAAAUAUAAAUAUAUAUAUUUAAUAAAAAAUGUCCUUCGAAGAAAAAAUAUAAGUUCAAAGAAAUAUAAGAAUUAGCGUAAACAACGAUAUCGAGAUUUCGUUAGUUUGUGCUAUUUCAUAAGA
rnacentral:misc_RNA from 1 species